rnacentral:rRNA from 1 species
AUUGAACGCUGGCGGCAGGCUUAACACAUGCAAGUCGAACGAGUGGCGGACGGGUGAGUAAUGCUUGGGAAUCUGGCUGAUGGAGGGGGAUAACUACGGGAAACUGUAGCUAAUACCGCAUACCAUAGGAUGAGCCCAAGUGGGAUUAGGUAGUUGGUGGGGUAAAGGCUCACCAAGCCGACGAUCCCUAGCUGGUCUGAGAGGAUGACCAGCCACACUGGAACUGAGACACGGCCCAGACCCCUACGGGAGGCAGCAGUGGGGAAUAUUGCGCAAUGGGGGCAACCUGACGCAGCCAUGCCGCGUGAAUGAAGAAGGCCUUCGGGUGGUAAAGUACUUUCAGUAGGGAGGCGUUAACUACAGAAGAAGCACCGGCUAACUCCGUGCCAGCAGCCGCGGUAAUAC